rnacentral:rRNA from 1 species
UACGUAGGUGGCAAGCGUUGUCCGGAUUUACUGGGCGUAAAGAGCGCGCAGGCGGUCGUUCAAGUCGCGUGUGAAAGCCCCCGGCUCAACUGGGGAGGGUCACGCGAUACUGAUCGACUCGAAGGCAGGAGAGGGAAGUGGAAUUCCCGGUGUAGUGGUGAAAUGCGCAGAUAUCAGGAAGAACACCCGUGGCGAAGGCGGGACUCUGGGCCGAUACUGACGCUGAGGCGCGAAAGCCAGGGGAGCGAACGGG